rnacentral:rRNA from 1 species
UACGGGAGGCAGCAGUAGGGAAUUUUCGUCAAUGGGGGGAACCCUGAACGAGCAAUGCCGCGUGAGUGAGGAAGGUCUUCGGAUCGUAAAGCUCUGUUGUAAGAGAAAAACGGCACUCAUAGGGAAUGAUGAGUGAGUGAUGGUAUCUUACCAGAAAGUCACGGCUAACUACGUGCCAGCAGCCGCGGUAAUACGUAGGUGGCGAGCGUUAUCCGGAAUGAUUGGGCGUAAAGGGUGCGUAGGUGGCAGAUCAAGUCUGGAGUAAAAGGUAUGGGCUCAACCCGUACUGGCUCUGGAAACUGAUCAGCUAGAGAACAGAAGAGGACGGCGGAACUCCAUGUGUAGCGGUAAAAUGCGUAGAUAUAUGGAAGAACACCGGUGGCGAAGGCGGCCGUCUGGUCUGGAUUCUGACACUGAAGCACGAAAGCGUGGGGAGCAAAUAGGAUUAGAUACCCUAGUAGUCCACGCCGUAAACGAUGAGAACUAGGUGUUGGGGGAAUAACUCAGUGCCGCAGUUAACGCAGUAAGUUCUCCGCCUGGGGAGUAUGCACGCNAGUGUGAAACUCAAAGGAAUUGACGGA